rnacentral:tRNA from 1 species
UAUUUGAUAUCUUAAAUAAAAGUAUUGAUUUUUUAAUUCAAUUUUAGUUCCUAACUUCAAAUAA